UACAGAGGUCCCGAGCGUUGUUCGGAUUUACUGGGCGUAAAGGGUGCGUAGGCGGUGGGGUAAGUUUGAGGUGAAAGCUCCGGGCUCAACCCGGAAACUGCCUUGAAAACUAUCCGGCUAGAGGGUUGGAGGGGAGACUGGAAUUCUCGGUGUAGCAGUGAAAUGCGUAGAUCUCGAGAGGAACACCAGUGGCGAAGGCGGGUCUCUGGACAACACCUGACGCUGAGGCACGAAAGCGUGGGGAGCAAACAGG
rnacentral:rRNA from 1 species